UUGCACAAUGGGCGAAAGCCUGAUGCAGCAACGCCGCGUGAGUGAUGAAGGCCUUCGGGUUGUAAAGCUCUGUCUUUUGGGACGAUAAUGACGGUACCAAAGGAGGAAGUCACGGCUAACUACGUGCCAGCAGCCGCGGUAAUACGUAGGUGGCGGGCGUUGUCCGGAUUUACUGGGCGUAAAGGAUGCGUAGGAGGAUAUUUAAGUGAGAUGUGAAGUACCCGAGCUUAACUUGGGUGCUGCAUUUCAAACUGGAUAUCGAGAGUGCGGGAGAGGAGAAUGGAAUUCCUAGUGUAGCGGUGAAAUGCGUAGAGAUUAGGAAGAACACCAGUGGCGAAGGCGAUUCUCUGGACGAUAACUGACGCUGAGGCGCGAAAGCGUGGGGAGCAAACA
rnacentral:rRNA from 1 species